UCCGUAGGUGGAUGAUUAAGUCAGAGGUGAAAUCCUGCAGCUCAACUGUAGAAUUGCCUUUGAUACUGGUCAUCUUGAAUUAUUGUGAAGUGGUUAGAAUAUGUAGUGUAGCGGUGAAAUGCAUAGAUAUUACAUAGAAUACCAAUUGCGAAGGCAGAUCACUAACAAUAUAUUGACACUGAUGGACGAAAGCGUGGGGAGCGAACAGGAUUAGAUACCCUGGUAGUCC
rnacentral:rRNA from 1 species